AUCAAUCCAAGCUGCUUCUCACACCCAGCAGACAAUUAUUUGAAGGACCAAGACAGUGUAAUAUGUCCUCGGUACAAAGCCAAGUGUGAUCAGUUCCUUCUAACAAACAGCAGAGCAAUUUACCAUGGAUAAUCCAGCUAACCUGCUUGUUUGGACUGUGGAAGGAUACUGGAAUACCCAGAGGAAACUGUUAUGAAGACGUGAGUAUAACUACCUUUAAGUCAGUUGAACUUCUGAACAGCACCAAGUGUUCUGAAAA